rnacentral:lncRNA from 1 species
ACAAACAGUACAUUUUUUUUUCUUUUCCCAUUGGGAAAUAUCUACAAUUUUUCAUGGCUGGUUUUAUUCAAUUGGAUUGAAAUUUUUUAGGCAUUGCUCCUGAAGGAACCAAGAGCUUUGAUGGCACCAGCACGGAGGAUGAACUGGUGGUAGACGGCGGCGGCGAAGGCUCCGAUGAAGGGACCCACCCAGAAAAUCCAGUGUUCAUCCCAAGCUUUGUCAUGAUUGUAAAUAACUGCUGCACCAAAACUUCUAGCAGGAUUGAUGCCAGUUCCAGUAAUUGGUAUGGUGGCUAAGUGAACCAUGAACACAGCAA